rnacentral:rRNA from 1 species
GUGUCAGCCGCCGCGGUAAUACGGAGGGUGCGAGCGUUGUCCGGAAUCACUGGGCGUAAAGGGCGCGUAGGUGGCUCGGCAAGCGUGAGGUGAAAGUUCGAGGCUCAACCUCGAAUCUGCCGUGCGAACUGCCAGGCUUGAGCACUGUAGAGGCAGAUGGAAUUCCGGGUGUAGCGGUGGAAUGCGUAGAGAUCCGGAAGAACACCGGUGGCGAAGGCGGUCUGCUGGGCAGUUGCUGACACUGAGGCGCGACAGCGUGGGGAGCAAACAGGAUUAGAUACCCUGGUAGUCC